UACGAAGGUCCCAAGCGUUAUCCGGAUUUAUUGGGUUUAAAGGGUGCGUAGGCGGGCUAUUAAGUCAGUGGUGAAAGCCUCAAGCUUAACUUGAGAAUUGCCAUUGAUACUGAUGACCUUGAGUACAUUUGAAGUGGGCGGAAUGUGUCAUGUAGCGGUGAAAUGCAUAGAUAUGACACAGAACACCGAUUGCGAAGGCAGCUGACGAAACUGUAACUGACGCUGAGGCUCGAAAGCGUGGGGAUCAAACAGG
rnacentral:rRNA from 1 species